CGGCACCGGGCACGGCCGGGGCGGUACCGGCGGGGCGGCGGCGCCGGCUCCGGGCCAAGUCGGGCCCAGCCGAGCCCAGCCGAGCCGCGCAGGAAGUGGCUGGCUCCUGUCCAGGUGGGACCCUGCCAGCGCUGAUGGAUGCCCGAGGUGCCGCCGUGCCACCCUGCCCCUGGCUAACCAGCACCAGUUCUUCAGUGGCAAGCUUUAUGUCCUUCUCCAGUAGCUAAAGCUGCCAGUUGAAGAACUGUUGAAUGUAGCCACUCUCUUCUCGUCCCCGGGACCUUGGACGCCAGCCAGAGCCGUGCCCUGAGCGACCCAGAUGAGCCACUCUGCAGCGUCCUGUGGAUUGGAGGGCUGAGGAUGAGUCCGACCAGGAUGAAGAAAGUCUCCUCAAAGCCUCCAGACAGAGCCUUGGCUGGAGGAUUCCUGGCAGCCGUGCCAGCAGGGCUGUCAAACUGUGUCCCCUUCCUCAGUGGGGUGGCACCGAGCUGGGAGGUGACAGGAGGAGACUGAGAGAGGCAUUAAACGUUGUUUUGCUCAA